UGGGCAGAGGGAUCCUCCUCCAGACGUCACUGAGCUUCAUCAGCAAGAUGCAAUAAUCACUUGUUUACCUCUAUGUGCAUGAGGUGUGAGAUGACAGAGGUGCCUGCAGGAACACACACACAGAGGUCUGGCAACUAAACAGCGAUCAGCAAACUGCCACCCUGAACAUAUCUGCCUGCCUCUCCCUGCUCAGAUCUACCUGGGGACACAGGUGUGCAAACUACUCCCUUCUCUCUAUCAAAAAAAGAAGGUGCAGUAGAAGACAUUGGCCCACACUGCUGUUAAUCAGCAGGAACAAAACCCCCACCAAAAUCCAAGGCAACCUGGAAAACCGCACUGAGCCAGCAAGCAGUUGCGCAACCGAAGCACUCUGCUGCCGCCGGGUUUGAACAGAUAGGGCUCGGCGCUCGUCAUCCAAACCUCCUGAACUUUGGUAAGGUGUUGCAGCUAUCUGAGAAGAGCAAACAAAGCUUCUGAUAACUUUCUGGAGGCCACACAACUGUCCAGCUGCUUCCACACCAACAGCUGCCCCAGGCAAAGCUGCAGGAAAGACAGGAAGCUCUGUGAGUCUGUGACCAGAACCUCUCCCCCGUUUCUACCUCACCUUUUAAGGUUGGAGCACAGAUAAGACUAGAGGAGGCUUUUAGUCCACCACCACAUGUACACAUUUUCCCCGGGUAACACAUCACAGCAGAAGCUUUUCAGUAUAGAUACUCCAGCACAGGAUUCACUUUCCUUAAUACAAUGACCCCAGGAAAACAUAAGCUAUCAGCUGAGCUAUCCUGGGAGCUCUGUGAGCAGGGAGAUAGGUGCUCUUCUUAAUGCUGAAUUAAGACUGGGGAAUAAUGUUACUGACCAGUCUCUGUCUCAGAGAUGGUCCUCACCUUACAAGGGUGAGAUGACUGAUGAAAAGACAGCCGAUGAAGUUACGACGACAGCUGGUGGUACUCAAGCUCAAAACACACCUGGAUAAAGCAGUCCUUCACACAAAGGACAGGUGGCUUGGGGAGCUGCUUCUCAUAGAUGCCCCAUAAUGUUUUGAGAAGAAUCAUGUAUGCUUGCUUGUUCUGCCAUUGCUCCCCAGGCACCUUCUGGCAAGAGAUGAGGUCAGGCCACUCUGCUGGAUGGGCUUUCAUUCUGAUUCAGCCUGGCCAUUGUCCAGUUCCUGUACUAAAUGUCUUCAAACUAAAAAUCACCAUUUGCAAACCCUUCAGACCUUGCAAGACCCCAGCAGCCACUGGUAACUGCAGUAUGUUACUGACUGCAACCUCACUCUCCAUUUUCAUCUGCCCUCUCCAGACAGUCUGCAUUUCUUCUCACGUUGGGAUUCAAGGAACCCAAUCCCCUCGAACAACUGCCCCGAGCCCAGCAGUGCCAUUUGGAGUCAACAGCUGCUGGGAAAAGGACACAACGCCUCCACAAGCUCCUCUCUCUGCCAGAGCCCAUCCCUGUUCCCCUUCAAAUCAAGGCUUGCAACCAUUUCCUCAAGGGGAGAGAUUUUGCAUGGGAGUUUCAUCUGUUUGUUGGUGUUUUCCAUCUUAGUAAGUUGUUAAAUGGUUUAUGUAGCAGGGAUAGCCCUGCCACUUAAAGAGGGAAGCAUGCAGUAGUAAUUAUUCAUUAACAACACAUCAGGAGUGACCUUUACACUGAAGCUGAGGAAGCCACCGUGCCUGUCCAGCUGUAUUCCAGAGGAUGUGAGCCAAGAGUUUCAAAGGGAGUAAAGAGUUUCACGAAGGGUAGGCAGCCUAAGCUAUCUCAGAAAGAUGCCUGAUUCUUUAGGGGACAAAAGCUGUUUGCAAGGUCUCACAUUCAGUGCCUACAAGCCACUAUACUGAGUUGAAAAAACUAAGCAGGAGUCACCACAGAGCUCAGUCCAAGCUGGUCUCACAGCCACCUCUGAUCCAGCAGAGCAAGGAAUGAACACACUGUUCUCCUCCACAGAAAAGGUACCUAUCCAGCAUGGGAUAACUACUGGAGAUCACCCAAUGAAAUCUGAACCAUUCUGGUGGCUCUACUGGAAAGCAGUUCUAUGGACUGGACCAAAAGCAAGGGCAGAGCUAGCAGCCUGCAGCAAGAGCUGGAGCCCCUUGUUUACAGCAGGCUUCUCUAGGGUAAGUUAUGCUGACCCAAGCCACACAUCCCCUGUAACAAAAAUCUAACUCCUGUCCCUGUGCCACAGGUUUUUCAGAGGGAGGUAAUUAAGUUUUGGGGGUUUUUUCUGUUGGAAGAGGAAGAAAACAAGUUCCACCUUUAGGCUGCCAUCUCAGGCACAUGUGGAUGCAUGUAGGAAGCACAGUGCCACACACAGAAGUGAGAAGCAAAGCCAAGGCACACACACAUGGUCCAGGCACCAGAAUCAUUUGUGAAGCAGAAACAAGAAGCAUCACUUUAUGCACGAUUACAUUUUCAAAAGCAAAGGGAGUUAGGGAAUGUCUCUGAAGACAGCCAGUAAGGUUCUGCAGGGAUCGCUGACUCAAGCCCUCGAUCUGGCUGUUUAGCUGAUGACUGGAAAACAGCUCUGGCUGUGUUUAUUCUGUAGACAAAGUCCAGCUAAAAAUUCAUCCAGGCUUAAAUAAUCUGUGUAACAAUGACCUCAAAACCCCCAACACAACACUGCAUUGCAUGCAGGUUUCCCAACAGGAUGAAGCAUUGUCAGGGCUGCUAUCCAGCUAUCCCCUCUUGAUGCACAGUCUGCUAUCACAGCAUUCUCAUCUCUGCACCACCAUUACUGCUCCUGGAAGUAACACACUAUUGCAUUUCCAUUUGCAUUUCAAUAUGGCCCCAAGGGCUUAACAUACAUCUGGUCCUCACUGCAGCUACUCUCUUCCCAAAGAGGAUACUGCCUAAAGAAGUCGAGACAAAGGAUGUGUCUUGAGCAACCUCAUGACACAGGCUCUCGGGAAACCAUGAGCAGAGCCUCCCACCUGCUAGCGCAGCAAAGCAUCCCAGUUUACUCUGCAGCUCUCCAUGCCACCACUGCUCUACAAACAGCAGCAAAUGUCAUUCUCCCAGUUAUCACAGAUGGGGAGAGCCAGAGGAGGAGGCACAGGUCCAAGCCCAAGGUUACACAUCAGGUCAGGAAUGAGCCACUAGGAAUAUUUGACUCAUCAAUGUCAGAAGAUUCCAAACUUUCCAUGUUAUCUAAACAACAAAAGCCUAAUACAAGACACUAUAAAGAGGUUGCUGAGCACAGCUUGGGAACUGGAGAUCUCACAUGCAGCCUUGUAGCUUUAUACCUAUCACCUUGAGAUAAGUGCCCCUUUCACCCCCCUUCCCCCCCAUACAUCCCAACCUGGCAGUGAUUUCGCUCCUAUCACAAACAUUAUACUCAGUGGGAGAGAAGGACUUAAUGUCCUUUAAAGACAUUUAUACAGUGUUAUUAGUUAGGAUUUGUGAGCUAUUCCAAGUAACAAAACACUGCUUUUCUUCCAGAGUGAGUAAUUCUAUUCACAUACUCAGUGUCUCCCAUCACAAUGCUGAUCCUAACCCCCCUUCUAGCCCACAGUUCUGGGGCUCAGCACAGGCAGAGAUGAUAAAUGAGACCAAGUGCCUCAGACCAGCCAUGCAGCUGAUUAACCCUCUCUCCUCCUUGGUGAGCUUGGGAUGGUUACAUCAGUUUUGUUCCUGCUGCCCAAGGAAUUGGCAGUGGCCACGCUGGGCACGGGGAGAUGGUGCCUCCUGCCCAGAGUAAAGUCAGCCUCUGUCUGCUGGUAAGCAGAGAACUGCAGACAGAAGAAUCCUCAGAUCCAUUUAAGAAUAAUCUCAAAAUAGGGCAGUGCCUCUCAACCGAGGCCUUGCCAAGAUGCUUAAGCUUUCAGCCACUCACUUUUCACAUCGGCUGUGUGUGUUUAUUCCUCCCCAGCCACCUGCACGUCCCAGCCCCAGCCUCGGCCACUAAGCUGCGGCAUGGGUUUGGGUUUUUUGUUGUAGGUAUGUCUAGCAAGGGCUCAGCAACAUGCUUCUCUCUCCAUCUAUUAAAUAGUGCUUUAUGCACGUAUAGAUUUAAGGCCAGCUAGCUAAGAGCACAGCAUGCAGUGCAGUGACUCAUGCAGCCAGCAAAGGAUAAAAUUGGCUGCAUGCAUGCCCGCAUAGGGCAUUCUGCAGCUCUUCCUAUAAUUAGUCCUUCAAACACUAGAGGGAAAAGUCACCAAUUCAAAGAGGUUCCACUUCCCCAUUAUUCACAUAUUUCCAAAUCAAAUGGUUGUCUGUCACACAGCAACAUGCCAUUGCCCUAGGAUAUCCAAAUGCAAACUGAAAAGUCUCUCCAGGAACAGGAUUUGCUUUCAUUACAUUUAGAUCACCUAAUUCAUUUUAAAAUUAUAUAUAAUUAGCCUCUCCCUCCAUUCCUCCCCUCUCCAGUUCAAUAUUCUCUCCCAAGCAAUUUAUGAACAUACCACACGUGCCAGUGGUGUUUCUUCUGAGGCAGCAGUCUUUUGCCUCUCAAACAAUAAAAGGAAUUUUAAUGCC